rnacentral:rRNA from 1 species
CGGGUGAGUAACGCGUGGAUAACCUGCCUCACACUGGGGGAUAACAGUUAGAAAUGACUGCUAAUACCGCAUAAGCGCACAGUGCCGCAUGGUACGGUGUGAAAAACUCCGGUGGUGUGAGAUGGAUCCGCGUCUGAUUAGCCAGUUGGCGGGGUAACGGCCCACCAAAGCGACGAUCAGUAGCCGACCUGAGAGGGUGACCGGCCACAUUGGGACUGAGACACGGCCCAA